GUUUAGGAUUUAGGGUUUAGGGUUUACAGUUUAGGGUUUAGGGUUUAGGAUUUAGGAUUUAGGGUUUAGAGUUGAGAAAUGAGGUUUUGGGGAUAAGAUUUCAAAUUUUGAAAAAUAAAAAGAUUAAAAUUUUCAAAAGAUAAAUCUAGAAAGGUGCUAUUUUGGUCAUUUUAGUUUUUGAGUGCUAUUUUUGUGAUAUAAACUUAGAAAUGUGCUAUUUUGGAGAUCUGUCUUUGCCAGCGUUAACC
rnacentral:lncRNA from 1 species